rnacentral:rRNA from 1 species
CUAACCAGGAUUCCCUCAGUAACUGCGAGUGAAGCGGGAAAAGCUCAGACUGAAAAUCUUCGGAAUUGUAGUCUGGAGAAGUAUGGUCAGCCGAUGAUGAUGAGUGAAGUCUUCUGGAAAGGAGCGCCUUGGAGGGUGAUAGCCCCGUUCAUACUUAUCAUUAGAAGCGUACGACCUGCUUUCUACGAGUCGUGUUGUUUGGGACUGCAGCACUAAGUGGGUGGUAAAUUCCAUCUAAAGCUAAAUAUUGGUGGGAGACCGAUAGCGAACAAGUACCGUGAGGGAAAGAUGCAAAGAACUUUGAAAAGAGAGUUAAAUAGUACCUGAAAUUGCUGAAAUGGAACCGAUGGGAAGCAGUGUCGGUGGCGGGUAUUUAUACUUGUCACAAGCCAGGCUUCUUUUCUAGUGCGGGAAAGGCUGAUAAACUAGUUUAGGUUAUCUACGCCGUCGUGCUGGCGAAGGACUCUGACGAAAUGCUUCUCAUCACCCCGUCUUGAAACACGGACCAAGGAGUCUAACAUGUGUGCGAGUGCUCGGGGUCAACCCCCCAGCGCGAAAUAAACGUAAAGGGGAAUUUAUUCCCUUAGGUAGGAUCCUUAGGUGCACUAUCGACCGACCAUGAUCCUCCGGGAGAAAGGUUUGAGUGUGAGCAUACAUGUUGGGACCCGAAAGAUGGUGAACUAUGCUUGAGUAGGGCGAAGCCAGGGGAAACUCUGGUGGAGGUCCGCAGCGAUUCUAACGUGCAAAUUGAUCGUCGAACUUGGGUAUAGGGGCGAAAGACUAAUCGAACCAUCUAGUAGCUGGUUCCUCCCGAAAUUUCCCUUAGGAUAGCUGCAACCGAACAGUUUUAUCAGGUAAAGCGAAUGAUUAGAGGCAUCAGGGGUGGAAUAUCCUUGACCUAUUCUCAAACUUUAAAUGGGUAAGAACCCUGGGUUGCUUAAUUGAACCCGGUGGUCGAAUGACGGUUGCUAGUGGGCCAAUCUGGGUAAGCUAGAUUGGCGAUGCGGGAUGAUCCGAACGUCAAGUUAAAGUGCCAAAGUAUCCGCUAACCUAGAUCCCACAAAAGGUGUUGGUUCAUUAAGACAGCAGGACGGUGGCCAUGGAAGUCGGAACCCG